rfam:Cucumis melo, WGS project CAJI01000000 data, contig: 10032
UUGCCUCCUAGAGUUUCCCUGAACAACUUCAUCUAGGCGAGAAUUUUAAUAAUGCUUUCUUAGAUUGAAGUGUUUGGGGGAACUCUUGGUGUCAA